rnacentral:rRNA from 1 species
AGAGUUUGAUCAUGGCUCAGGACGAACGCUGGCGGCGUGCCUAACACAUGCAAGUCGAACGGGACCGGGGGCAACUCCGGUUCAGUGGCGGACGGGUGCGUAACACGUGAGGAACAUGACUUUCGGCGGGGGAUAGCCGGCCCAACGGCCGGGUAAUACCGCGUACGACCCUGUGGAGACAUCUCCGUUGGGUGAAAGCAGCAAUGCACCGAAAGAGUGCCUCGCGGCCUAUCAGCUAGUUGGUGGGGUAACGGCUCACCAAGGCGACGACGGGUAGCUGGUCUGAGAGGAUGGCCAGCCACAUUGGGACUGAGACACGGCCCAGACUCCUACGGGAGGCAGCAGUGGGGAAUAUUGCGCAAUGGGCGAAAGCCUGACGCAGCGACGCCGCGUGUGGGAUGACGGCCUUCGGGUUGUAAACCACUGUCGGGAGGGACGAAUGCGCCGCAAGGCGAGUGACGGUACCUCCAAAGAAG